rnacentral:lncRNA from 1 species
UCCCUCAAGUGUUUGAGCGGUGAAGUAUGAAGCCUCUAACACUUGUAUAUUUGCUCCCAAUCUUUGGUCCUUUUCCUGAAACAGAAAAACAUACGGGACUCGGAGGUGCGAUUAUAGAUGAAGACUGCCUAACUCGUGUGUACUUCCAUCAGAUUAUUGCAACCCUGGGCUAGGAAUUUAAGAGUAUUCCAAUUUGCCGUGCAGGUCAUGACUCAUCAUUUGGCACGAGUUAGGGUUUUUGCCUAGCAUCUAAAAUCGUUAGUAGAAUUUUAACAAUUCAAAGAAAAAAUUCUAACUUGGCGAUACCUGACCGUGGGUACUAUCUUUAGAAGUAAUAUCUCUUGAAAUAAACGGCAUUCCAAUGUGAAGGUAGAACCUUGCCCUCCAUUGUCUCUAGCUCGUAUGCUUCUUUGCCCGCAAUUUCACGAAUUCGAUAAGGUCCCUCCCAUGUUGGACUUAGCUUUCCUGAAUUAACUGACUUUGUAGAUUGAAAAACCUUUUUUAACACAAAGUCUCCAACUUUAAAAAACUUGAGGCGUGCUUUCAUGUUGUAAUAUCGUUCAAUUACUUGCUUUUGAGCUGCCAUCCUUAUCAAAGCAGCUUCUCUUCUCCCUUCAAGUAAGUCAAGAUUUACUCGUAACUCUUCAUUGUUCGAGUCUUCUUCUACUUGAAUAC